rnacentral:rRNA from 1 species
AGUGAACGCUGGCGGUAGGCCUAACACAUGCAAGUCGAACGGCAGCACAGUAAGAGCUUGCGCUUACGGGUGGCGAGUGGCGGGCGGGUGAGGUAUGUAUCGGAAUCUACUUUUUCGGGGGGGAUAACGUAGGGAAACUUACUCUAAUACCGCAUACGACCUACGGGUGAAAGCAGGGGAUCGUCGGACCUUGCGCGAUUGAAUGAGCCGAUGUCGGAUUAGCUAGUUGGCGGGGUAAAGGCCCACCAAGGCGACGAUCCGUAGCUCGUCUGAGAGGAUGAUCAGCCACCCUGGAACUGAGACACGGUCCAGACUCCUACGGGAGGCAGCAGUGGGGAAUAUUGGACAAUGGGCGCAAGCCUGAUCCAGCCAUCCCGAGUGGGUGAAGAAGGCCUUCGGGUUGUAAAGCCCUUUUGUUGGGAAAGAACCGCAGCAGGUUAAUACCCCGCUGUUCUGACGGUACCCGAAGAAUAAGCACCGGCUAACUUCGUG